AUACUAUCGGGAUUAUUUUUGCGAGUAUUUUAAUUCUUACCGUAUUAUUAAAUCUUAAAGGAAAGCCCGACCAUCA
rnacentral:misc_RNA from 1 species